rnacentral:rRNA from 1 species
AAGCGCAUGUGCUGUGAGCUCGAUGAGUAGGGCGGGACACGUGGUAUCCUGUCUGAAUAUGGGGGGACCAUCCUCCAAGGCUAAAUACUCCUGACUGACCGAUAGUGAACCAGUACCGUGAGGGAAAGGCGAAAAGAACCCCGGCGAGGGGAGUGAAAAAGAACCUGAAACCGUGUACGUACAAGCAGUGGGAGCACCCUUUGGGGUGUGACUGCGUACCUUUUGUAUAAUGGGUCAGCGACUUAUAUUCUGUAGCAAGGUUAACCGUAUAGGGGAGCCGGAGGGAAACCGAGUCUUAACCGGGCGUUAAGUUGCAGGGUAUAGACCCGAAACCCGGUGAUCUAGCCAUGGGCAGGUUGAAGGUUGGGUAACACUAACUGGAGGACCGAACCGACUAAUGUUGAAAAAUUAGCGGAUGACCUGUGGCUGGGGGUGAAAGGCCAAUCAAACCGGGAGAUAGCUGGUUCUCCCCGAAAGCUAUUUAGGUAGCGCCUCGUGAAUUCAUCUCCGGGGGUAGAGCACUGUUUCGGCUAGGGGGCCAUCCCGGCUUACCAACCCGAUGCAAACUGCGAAUACCGGAGAAUGUUAUCACGGGAGACACACGGCGGGUGCUAACGUCCGUCGUGAAGAGGGAAACAACCCAGACCGCCAGCUAAGGUCCCAAAGUCAUGGUUAAGUGGGAAACGAUGUGGGAAGGCCCAGACAGCCAGGAUGUUGGCUUAGAAGCAGCCAUCAUUUAAAGAAAGCGUAAUAGCUCACUGGUCGAGUCGGCCUGCGCGGAAGAUGUAACGGGGCUAAACCAUGCACCGAAGCUGCGGCAGCGACGCUGAUGCGUUGUUGGGUAGGGGAGCGUUCUGUAAGCCUGCGAAGGUGGCCUGUGAGGGUUGCUGGAGGUAUCAGAAGUGCGAAUGCUGACAUAAGUAACGAUAAAGCGGGUGAAAAGCCCGCUCGCCGGAAGACCAAGGGUUCCUGUCCAACGUUAAUCGGGGCAGGGUGAGUCGACCCCUAAGGCGAGGCCGAAAGGCGUAGUCGAUGGGAAACGGGUUAAUAUUCCCGUACUUGGUGUUACUGCGAAGGGGGGACGGAGAAGGCUAUGUUGGCCGGGCGACGGUUGUCCCGGUUUAAGCGUGUAGGUGUGUGUUCCAGGUAAAUCCGGUUCACUUUAACACUGAGGCGUGAUGACGAGGCACUACGGUGCUGAAGCAACAAAUGCCCUGCUUCCAGGAAAAGCCUCUAAGCAUCAGGUAACAUCAAAUCGUACCCCAAACCGACACAGGUGGUCAGGUAGAGAAUACCAAGGCGCUUGAGAGAACUCGGGUGAAGGAACUAGGCAAAAUGGUGCCGUAACUUCGGGAGAAGGCACGCUGACA